rnacentral:lncRNA from 1 species
CAUAAACAAACGACAACCACUGAAUUACAGGCUCCUUACUUAAAUAAAUGUUCAUAACAUACUAAAUGUAUGUUCAUAUUGAAAUUGAUAGAAAACCAAAAAUUGGGAACUUUGGAAGUAAAGGUGGAGGGUAAAAAAAACAUUUUCCUGUCCCCAAUAACCUAUGACUUAUGAUACUUUUGCUGAAAUUCUCCAGUCAUUCUGUAUUUUACAAAAUUCUUCCAACAACACUUUACAUACUUUAAACUACGCUCUGAAUGCCCGCGAUUUCGCGGGUGUGUUCUAGUUAUUUUUAAACUACUGCAAAACAUCAAAAUGGCUUUCAUAAAGAAGCAACCACUUAACUUAAUAAAAGGGGGGGGGGGUAUUUUGUUAAUUUAUCUGAGCCAGAAAUUUUUCCGCGCAAACGUUUUAUUCCCGGUUUUUUUUCGAUGCUGGUAAUCAAUUAUUUUUUUUCAACAUUUAACACUAUAACGUAUGGGGAAACUCUUGAUUUAGAACAUUUUUGUAUCAUCUGUAGGACCUUUUUUUUAUCC